rnacentral:rRNA from 1 species
UACGGAGGGUGCGAGCGUUGUCCGGAAUCAUUGGGCGUAAAGGGCGCGUAGGUGGCCCGGUCAGUUCGUGGUGAAAGCGCGGGGCUCAACCCUGCGUCGGCCAUGAAUACUGCCGCGGCUGGACACUGUAGAGGCAGGCGGAAUUCCGGGUGUAGCGGUGGAAUGCGUAGAGAUCCGGAAGAACACCGGUGGCGAAGGCGGCCUGCUGGGCCAGUUGCUGGACACUGAGGCGCGACAGCGUGGGGAGCAAAC